rnacentral:rRNA from 1 species
CCUACGGGGCGCAGCAGUAGGGAAUAUUGCUCAAUGGGGGAAACCCUGAAGCAGCAACGCCGCGUGGAGGAUGAAGGUUUUCGGAUUGUAAACUCCUGUUGUUAGAGAAGAUAAUGACGGUAUCUAACGAAUAAGCACCGGCUAACUCCGUGCCAGCAGCCGCGGUAAUACGGAGGGUGCAAGCGUUACUCGGAAUCACUGGGCGUAAAGCGCGCGUAGGCGGGAUAGCAAGUCAGAUGUGAAAUCCUAUGGCUUAACCAUAGAACUGCAUUUGAAACUGUUAUUCUAGAGUAUGGGAGAGGUAGGUGGAAUUCUUGGUGUAGGGGUAAAAUCCGUAGAGAUCAAGAGGAAUACUCAUUGCGAAGGCGACCUGCUAGAACAUAACUGACGCUGAUGCGCGAAAGCGUGGGGAGCAAACAGGAUUAGAUACCCCAGUAGUC